rnacentral:rRNA from 1 species
CCGGCGACCGGCGCACGGGUGAGUAACACGUAUGCAACCUGCCCUCUUCAGGGGGACAACCUUCCGAAAGGGAGGCUAAUCCCGCGUAUAUCGGUUUCGGGCAUCCGAGAUCGAGGAAAGAUUCAUCGGAAGAGGAUGGGCAUGCGGCGCAUUAGCUUGACGGCGGGGUAACGGCCCACCGUGGCGACGAUGCGUAGGGGUUCUGAGAGGAAGGUCCCCCACACUGGUACUGAGACACGGACCAGACUCCUACGGAAGGCAGCAG